rnacentral:lncRNA from 8 species
GCCCUUUUUAUGCACGUGAUUUAUUUUCAAUAUUCAUAUGGUCUUCUAGGAUUAUUAGGUGACAAUUGUGGGAGCAAGAUCUUCAGAUUGUAAUGGACUCUCAGUUGUAAUCUGAUGGAUCCUUAGUGGUCUAGGUUGACUGAAUAAUGGUGGAUGGGGAGCAGGCCAAAAGAUGAUUUGCAUAGUGAUGAUGCACUGCAUUGUCAGCACAUGCUUCAGUAGUCUGGGAGUGUUUAUAGCCCUGUGAGUUUAACACUUCAUGACUGAGAGCUGUCCUUCAUGACAACAGAACCCACAACAACCAUGACUUUUAUCACCAUCUUCAUCUGGAUAUUUGUCCUCCAUCUUCAAGAGUCCAGAGGCCAGGUCACUGUGACCCAGACUCCUGCAGUGAAAGCUGUUUCAGUGGGACACUUAGUCAUUAUCAGCUGUAAAACCAGCAGUGCUGUAUACAGUGAUAUUUGUAUUUGUAUUUUUUAGGGAACCAAGGCAGCAGCUAAUCUUCCUCGUGUCCAAACAUAUUAAAGCACUUACAUUACGUAUAAAUCAAAAGAUAAAACAGUACAUCAUAUACCAUUAUUACACUACUAUAUAUAUACAAUACAAAAUGUUUAAUGCCACUAUACAACAAUAUCACAAUGCAUGCAUGUGCAUGUGUCUGUACCUUUGUGUGUGUCUCUUCACAAUCCCCGUUGUUCCAUAAGGUGUAUUUUUACCUGUUUUGUAAAUCUGAUUCAACUGCUUGCAUCAGUUACCUGAUGUAGAAUAGAUUUCCAUGUAGUCAUGGCUCUAUGUAGUACUGUGCGCCUCCCAUAGUCUGUUCUGCACUUGGGGACUGUGAAGAGACCUCUGGUGGCAUGUCUUGUGGGGUAUGCAUGGGUGUCCGAGCUAUGUGCAAGUAUUUUAAACAGACAGCUUGGUACAUUCAGCUUGUCAACACCUCUUACAAAAACAAGAAGUGAUGAAGUCAAUCUCCCUUCCACUUUGAGCCAUGAGAGAUUGAUAUGCAUGUCAUUAAUGUUAGCUCUCUGUGUACUUUUCAUUCUUAAGGGCCGGGGGCAGUGUUCGGAAAUUCGGAUGACUGACGUGCCUAAACUAGAGCUAUGUCUAGAAGACCUUAGAUCAUAACUGAUCACUAAAUGUUUCUCCUGACAAUUAAAACCUCUUUGGACUAGGGGGCAGUAUUGUGACGUCCAGAUGAAAAGCUUGCCCAAAGUAAACUGCCUGUUACUUAGGCCCAGAAGCUAGGAUAUGGAUAUAAUUGGUAGCAUUGGAAAGAAAACACUCUGACAUUUCUAAAACUGUUAAAAUAAUGUCUGUGAGGAUAACAGAACUGAUAUGGCAGGCAGAAAUCCGAGGAAAAUCUAUCCAGACAUUUUUUUUGAGGUGACUGCCCAUUCAAAUGCUUGUUUAUGGGAAAAUCAAAGGAAUUACCUCCCAGAUUGCAGUUCCUAUGGCUUCCAUUAGAUGUCAACAGUCUUUAGAAAGGGUUUCAGACUUGUUUUUAAAAAAAUGAGCUAGAAUAUGUAUUUUUGGGGGGGGGAUUCCUAUGUAUGCAUGUUGAACUAGUGGAACGGGUGGAUUACUGAAUCAAACGCGCCAACUAAACUGACUUUUUUGGGAUAUAAAGAAGGACUUUAUCGAACAAAAUGACCAUUUGAUGUGUAGCUGGGACCCUUGGGAUUGCAAACAGAGGAAGAUCUUCAAAGGUAAGUGAUUUAUUUUAUCACUAUUUCUGACUUUUGUGACGCCUGUGCUGGUUUGGAAAAUGUUUCUAAUGCUUUUGUGUGUGGGGCGCUGUCCUCGGAUAACCGCAUGGUAUGCUUUUGCCGUAAAGCCUUUUUGAAAUCUGACAAAGUGGCUAGAAGUUAACCUGUUGGGGAUAGGGGGCAGUAUUUGCACGGCCGGAUAAAAAACGUACCCGAUUUAAUCUGGUUACUACUCCUGCCCAGUAACUAGAAUAUGCAUAUAAUAGUUUGAUUUGGAUAGAAAACACCCUAAAGUUUCUAAAACUGUUUGAAUGGUGUCUGUGAGUAUAACAGAACUCAUUUGGCAGGCCAAAACCUGAGAAGAUUCCAAACAGGAAGCGCUCUCUCUGACUUUUUCUUGGCCUUCUUGAUCAUCUCUAACCAAAACAGGGGAUCUCUGGCAUGACGUGACAUUUUCUAACGCUCCCAUAGGCUCUCAGAAGGCGCCAGAACGAUGAAUGGUGGCUUUGCAGGCCCUGGCUGAAAAACAGUAGCGCAUUUUGUAAGUGGUCGAUCUGAGGACAAUGAGACUGGAGGCGCGUGCACGAGCCGACACCAUGUUUACUUUCUCUCUCUUUGAACGAAAACAACGACUCCCGGUCGGAAUAUUAUCGCUUUUUUAGGAGAAAAAUAGCAUAAAAAUUGAUUUUAAACAGCGUUUGACAUGCUUCGAAGUACGGUAAUGGAAUAUUUUGAAAUUCUUUGUCACGAAACGCGUCGGGCGCGUCACCCUUCUUUACCCUUCGGAUAGUGUCUUGAACGCACAAACAAAACGCCGCUAUUUGGAUAUAACGAUGGAUUAUUUGGAACCAAACCAACAUUUGUUAUUGAAGUAGAAGUCCUGGGAGUGCCUUUCUGACGAAGAACAGCAAAGGUAAUCAAACUUUUCUAAUAGUAAAUCGGAGUUUGGUGAGUACCACACUUGGUGGGUGUCAAAAUAGCUAGCCUGUGAUGGCUGGGCUAUCUACUCAGAAUAUUGCAAAAUGUGCUUUCACCGAAAAGCUAUUUUAAAAUCGGACAUAGCGAGUGCAUAAAGGAGUUCUGUAUCUAUAAUUCUUAAAAUAAUUGUUAUGUUUUUUGUGAACGUUUAUCAUGAGUAAUUUAGUAAAUUCACCGGAAGU